ensembl:snRNA U6 U6 spliceosomal RNA
AUAUUCACUUCAGCAGCACAUACACUAAAACUGGAAUGAUACAGAGAAGACUAGCAUGUCCCCUGUGCAAGGAUGACAUGCAAACUUAUGAAGUAAGGGUCAUAGCU